CAACAAGACAACAAGUCCACUCUAUCAUUUUCCAUCCAUUAGACCCUCAUGUAGUCAAAAGCAAAAAACUCAUGUUUGAAGCCCACAUGUAGUGGAAAACAAAUGUGCCGAGAUAAGGAUCUUUUCUGAAUCUUGCAAUUUUGAUGGCAUACCAUACAACAGCAUGUUUGUUAUUAUGGAUGUUCUUAUUUCAGUUUAGAAGGCAACCCAGCUAAAAGAUAGAGUUUCAGAUACAUGAAGUGUGUGAAGUGAAUAACCUGCCAUGUGUAUGCACAUGUACCAGAUCUGCUUAAUGAAAGUCAAAUGCCAUACUAAAUUCAUCACCCAUAUGAUAAAAGAAAUUUAUCUCAACAUGUGGAGUAAU